GAGGGUUGUCAGUUAACUACUUGUCGAAGAGAAACUAGGUUUUGCCACGGUAGAGGUUGAUUUUCCAUCAAAAGGGCCCCCUUACCAAAUCGUCGAUUCUAGUUGAAAUUUCUUCGUGAGAUAUGGCGACGUGUCUCAUGUGGUAAGCGAGCAUAAGCUCAAUUCAAUUCCGAUGUUGAUGAGAUUACUCUUGACUGUUGUGCUUUUGCCAGCUUCAGGUGCAGUCUCAGAUGAGUGUGCGAGUAGGUAAAUGUCACGCUAUGUGCAACUUCAAAGCUCCCGACCUGGCUGAGGAUGCUCCCUCCCUCCAACUCCAUUUGCAACGUGCUCGCUCUAAGGUGCCAUGUAGAGCCCGCCUUAAGGACAUUUUACUGAUAAUCAUGAAACUACUUGUUUGUUUUAAUGGUGACCAAAAAAAAAAAAUCAUGAUUUAAACAUACACACAAGCAGGCAGGUUAAGCAUCAUGGACACUUAUAUAACAAUGUCAAGUAUUGGUCAACUCUAAAUCAUUUCAAAAACAAUUUUGCAGAAGGCUUUGGAUCUCCAGUGCAGCUUCGAUCAUGCAAGCGGAUAACUUGAUUUUAUUGGCGGAACCAUAUGCGCCCCGUUUCAAGAGCAAAUUCUGACAGACCGAAAUUCUCUGUCGUUGGUUGCCAAAUUUUCUAUAAGUUCUUUUUUGUAUGCACCACGAAUGUUGGUAGAAAAGAAUCAAUGGUACUUUUUUUUCCUUUCGAGGAAUUCCAUGACUUUAAUAUCAUUGGCGUGGCGUGCUUUGCGAUUUAUUGAUUGCUCGGUCAUUUAAACCUACGGAAAAGGAUGGAUAAACAGAAAACACGGUAAUCGCAUCGAACACCUAAAUAAUCGAUUCCUCACCACAGCUUCAAAUGAGUAGAUAUCGAUAAUCGAACACUUACGCCUCGCCAUUGAGUAAUAUCGUUGUGAAAGCAAAAUUGCAGGGUUUAACAAGGAAAAUGAAAUCAAAACUUUUAUAUAAAUAGCUCACGAUUACUAAUCACAAUGGCUAUUAUUAUUAUCAUUACCUACUCGUAGAAAGUGCACUGAAAUUAGAUUCACUAGCAUUUGUUCGGUUUAACCAUUUAGAAUCAGUACACACCAAAAAAUAUCUAUAUCACAUGUCGAAAAAAAAACUACAUUUAGAAUGUGAUGCGCAAACUCUAAGAAUCUACCUUGAAACCGAAAAAUCAGUUGAUUUUUGCAUACGAAAUUUCUUAACUACCUCAUAAGUUAAAUGGAAGUUGCAGGUUGGCAACUCCGUCAAGAUGUGUGUCAACUAAAAAACAAAACAAGGGUUCACGGCAAAUUGCGCGAUGACGAAAUCAAUAUCCAUCCGUUUCGGAUCAUUAAGGGAUUAUUUAUGGCCCAUGCGUUCGAAUACUAAUAAAUUGGGAUAACCCCCAUGGGUUCCCCUGCCAAAAUCAACAACAAAGCUCCAGUAGGGUGCCUUCUUCAAUUAAUUUAAACUUGUAUAAAUCUCAAUUCCUCGGAUUGGCCAUAUCAUCGAGAUCAUAUUUAACCUCACGCUUAUUGCAGAGUUAACGCCUUGAUAAUGUUUAAAGUCUCAUGAAUGAAAUGUAUUAUUCUGGUACAAUUGUCAUGUGAGAGUCUUGGCAGUGACAUUACUCGGAAAUAUUUCUCGGAUAUACUUACCCAUGACGAAUACCUACUAAGAAGAAAAAUUUAAUUAAUCACGAAUGUCAAGAAUAUUGAUUGAAUUUUCUGCUCGAGGACUUAGAAUUCAAGACAAGAUAGUAUUCCAAACCAAGAUGAAGGAAACUGAGUACAUAUGUAGGUAUUAUGAGCAUCUUCAGUUCAGCUGUUCUUUUUCGAAGUAGGUGGGAGUUAAAAACUCUGGUUUCAUUGUGUGUCAAUUUUAGAAGUAUAGUUUUUACAGCACACACAAAAUCUGGAUCUAUUAAAUAAGAAAAUAGUUUCCUCGGCAGUUUCUUACUAAGCCGAGGAAAAUAUAUUUUGCCUGAUGGGAAUAACUCCAUGGAAUUAAGUAUAGUUAAUUUUAGUUAAUAAUUAAUAAGUUUUCUGAAUGACCACAUCGCAAUUUUUAGUAGGGAGAAAUCUGCUGCCCAUGUUAAUCACGACUUACUCAUUGAUUGCAAAAAAGUUUUGCUUUAAGAAAAUGAAAAUACUGUCAAAGAAUUGUGGGUACCAAUAAUUGUCCUUGGUGAUGAACAAGUGGUACAGAUGGUGUCGAUGGUGAAUUUAGGAAACCUUGUAUCACGUUAUACGAUGUUGCAAACCGCCUGCACAAUU
rnacentral:lncRNA from 1 species